GAGCAAGCAAGAGGACACUGGACGCAGAGAGAGAGAGAGAGAGAGGGAGACACUGGACUUUGUCCUCGCAUGGAACCUUGGCAGCAGCAUAUUCAUAUACAUGCGCUCACUCUCAGCGGGAUCCGGCCGUACAUGUGUAUCGUCUUCUUGCUUGACGGCGAUUUGGCGCAGGUUCAGGCAUAUGCCGUGAGCUUGUAGCUAGAGGGAUCGAGCUUGCAGCGGGUGGUGGUGCUGAUAAGAGGUGAGUGGCCUAAGCCGUUCCUCGUGCAUAAGGCCUUUUGCCCAAACACAAGGGAAUUGUCGCCGUUAUAUGUCACUCACUGUGUGCAUGCUUGUGUAGUAGGAGUAGUAUACGCAGGGGUGCCCGGCAGACUAGUGGUCGGUAGUGCGGCCACCACUCCGGCCCAGACAGAGCGUGUGUCCAAGAGCGCCUUUCCCCCCCGGCUCACACCGGAGUGGUGAAUCCAUCCAUCCGCCCGCUCAUCACACGGUGCGUGCCUCAAUUCUCUCCCUUGCAGGGGAGAGCAGAGCUCCGUUUCCUCUGCUCCGCGGCGACCAGCUCCGGCGGUUUGGGGGUGGCCUUGCGCCCAUGCAGCAGAUGGCCACCACCGUCACGCUGCUGCUCGGGGCAGCCUCGUCCCCAGGCCUCGCCGCCGGUGAUGGCGCCGCGCGGGACGGCUUCCAGCGCUCCCGCCUGCUGCCCAAGAAGCGGCAGCAGAGGCAACGCUGGGUGCUCUGCUCGCUCACGUACGGCUGCCUCGGCCUCGGCGAGCCGGGGGAGGCGGGCGGCCGGAGCGCGGCGUCCCCGGUGUACUCCAGCCUCACCGUCAGCCCCGGCGGCGACGCGGCCGUCGCCGUCGUCUCGUCGGAGCAGAAAGUGUACGACGUGGUGGUGAAGCAGGCGGCAUUGCUCAAGCGCCAGCUGCGCCCGCAGCAGCAGCAGGCGGCGCCGCCCGCCGUCGCCAGGGAGAUGGACGCGCCGCGCGGCGGGCUCGGGGAGGCCUACGCCCGCUGCGGCGAGAUCUGCGAGGAGUACGCCAAGACCUUCUACCUCGGGACCUUGCUGAUGACGGAGGAGCGGCGGCGCGCCAUAUGGGCCAUCUACGUGUGGUGUAGGAGGACAGACGAGCUGGUGGACGGGCCGAACGCGUCGCACAUCACGCCGCAGGCGCUGGACCGGUGGGAGAGGAGGCUGGAGGACCUCUUCGCCGGGCGCCCCUACGACAUGCUCGACGCCGCGCUCUCCGACACCAUCACCAAGUUCCCCAUAGAUAUUCAGCCCUUCAAGGACAUGAUCGACGGGAUGCGGACGGACCUUAAGAAGGCGAGGUACAAGAACUUUGACGAGCUCUACAUGUACUGCUACUAUGUUGCCGGCACCGUGGGGUUGAUGAGCGUCCCGGUGAUGGGCAUUGCGCCGGAGUCCAAGGCGACAGCCGAGAGCGUCUAUGGCGCCGCUCUGGCUCUUGGCCUCGCGAACCAGCUCACCAACAUACUCAGGGAUGUUGGAGAAGAUGCAAGAAGAGGGAGGAUAUAUUUGCCACAAGACGAGCUUGCGGAGGCGGGGCUCUCCGAUGAAGACAUCUUCAAAGGAGUCGUCACCGACAAGUGGAGGAAAUUCAUGAAGAGGCAGAUCAAGAGGGCGAGGAUGUUCUUCGAGGAGGCGGAGCGAGGGGUGACUGAGCUUAGGAAGGAGAGCCGGUGGCCGGUUUGGGCCUCUCUGUUGUUGUACCGGCAGAUCCUCGAUGAGAUCGAAGCGAAUGACUACAACAACUUCACCAAGAGGGCCUAUGUUGGGAAGGCGAAGAAGGUGCUUGCGCUCCCUGUCGCGUACGGGAGAUCGCUGCUCUUACCGUAUUCACUGAGAAAUAACCAGACCUAGAAGAAACAACAAAGCAAGAUGAAGAUGGUCAGGUUAGGCUAGAUAGAAAGAAACAGGGCGGUGUCGCGACAUCUGCCUUUGAGCUCCUCAUCCGGUUAGUUGGAUAGUCAAUGCGGCGAAUCGGCACAUUCCUCUGCAAUCAAUGUUGAAUGCAUGACACGAAGGGCUGGGGAAGGAAGGGAGAAGAACACUGCAGCCAUCCUCGAUGGAGACCGAAUGUUUACAUGUAUAUUAUUAUUGCUAGAACAUGUGCGUUUGACGACAGAACAAGAUGUAUAUAUAUACUCGUUGUCGGUCCUGAAUUUGGGAAACAGGUAUGUUAUUCUGUAAGCGUAUAUAUUCGAACAAUAUGGUUUGGAUUACAAAACUGAGAAAAUAUGACGCUGUUUCUAAACUU
rnacentral:rRNA from 1 species